rnacentral:piRNA from 1 species
UAACAGGAACCUAAGUGUGGCUAUGGCACUA